GACAGCCCUGGCAGCCUGGCGGAAUCUACUAGACCACUUGUAAGGGGGAAAAGCCAUUUGGGGCUCGACCAUCACAAGCAACUGCCACAACAAUCAAUGUGUGUUGAUGGGAUGUAUCAUACGUUCAAGUUAAUGAAGCUGUGAAACAGGUGAGAGUGGUACAUACCGUGGGAAUAAAUGGAAUUCCCUGUGAUUAUGUUGGCUGCAGCAUGGUUUUCAGGGCUCCCAAAUAGCACAAGUACAAUGGAUGCCCACGGCUGCGUUCAGCUGCAGCGGCUGGCACGCUGAGGGACUGGGCACCAGAGGAAACAUCUCAAGUGGAAAAAUGUCACUGCUGAGGGAAGUAGUCUCUUUUAAUCUUUUUAAAAGCCCGGGAGACCUUGCUCGUGAGACCAGCAUGCAACACCAGAGGAAAGGGAAGCUGAAACAAUGGGAGGUCACCAGACAAAGAACAGGAAGAGGCUUGGAAGGAAUUUAUGGUCUUGAUUCUAAGAUGCACAUUUUUAUUUCAUGUUUCAAUACUGCAGAUGUUGAGAAGUAUCUCACAAUUGCUA